AUUGAACGCUGGCGGCAGGCCUAACACAUGCAAGUCGAACGGUAACAGGAAGAAGCUUGCUUCUUUGCUGACGAGUGGCGGACGGGUGAGAAAUGUCUGGGAAACUGCCUGAUGGAGGGGGAUAACUACUGGAAACGGUAGCUAAUACCGCAUAACGUCUCAAGACCAAAGAGGGGGACCUUCUGGCCUCUUGCCAUCGGAUGUGCCCAGAUGGUAUUAGCUAGUAGGUGGGGUAACGGCUCACCUAGUCGACGAUCCCUAGCUGGUCUGAGAGGAUGACAAGCCACACUGGAACUGAGACACGGUCAAGACUCCUACGGGAGGCAGCAGUGGGGAAUAUUGCACAAUGGGCGGAAGCCUGAUGCAGCCAUGCCGCGUGUAUGAAGAAGGCCUUCGGGUUGUAAAGUCCUUUCAGCGGGGAGGAAGGGAGUAAAGUUAAUACCUUGGCUCAUUGACGUUAACCGCAGAAGAAGCACCGGCUAACUCCGUG
rnacentral:rRNA from 1 species